rnacentral:rRNA from 1 species
AUUGAACGCUGGCGGCGGGCCUAACACAUGCAAGUCGAGCGGAUGACGGGAGCUUGCUCCUGGAUUCAGCGGCGGACGGGUGAGUAAUGCCUAGGAAUCUGCCUGGUAGUGGGGGACAACGUUUCGAAAGGAACGCUAAUACCGCAUACGUCCUACGGGAGAAAGCAGGGGACCUUCGGGCCUUGCGCUAUCAGAUGAGCCUAGGUCGGAUUAGCUAGUUGGUGAGGUAAUGGCUCACCAAGGCGACGAUCCGUAACUGGUCUGAGAGGAUGAUCAGUCACACUGGAACUGAGACACGGUCCAGACUCCUACGGGAGGCAGCAGUGGGGAAUAUUGGACAAUGGGCGAAAGCCUGAUCCAGCCAUGCCGCGUGUGUGAAGAAGGUCUUCGGAUUGUAAAGCACUUUGAGUUGGGAGGAAGGGCAGUAAGCGAAUACCUUGCUGUUUUGACGUUACCGACAGAAUAAGCACCGGCUAACUCUGUGCCAGCCGCCGCAGUAAUAC